rnacentral:misc_RNA from 1 species
CAAAGUGGGAUCUUUGAGAGAGUGAAUGUAGGCUAGUUAAAGCCGAACCACUAUAAAAAUUCCAGUGUUCAUUUUCUCAACCCUUGCUCUUUACAUUUAUGCAAUUUAGCUUUAUGAUUGAUAUACUUUUGCUGAUAUGAAAAUUGAUAUCAUAUGCUGUUAAUCUUGCUGCUAUCUGAGAAAAAUAGUUUACUGCAAAAUCUGCUGAUAUCUGAUAUAUUCUGUUGGUUAUCUGUUGUGCUGUCAGAUAGGAUAUCUGGUAUACUGCUCUAGUUGCUGUGAUAAAAACGUAUUCAGUUUACUGAUAUAUUUACUGAAUGCUUAUAUAGUCUGUUAUAUCAGUAUACUGAUUGCAUACAGGCUAACCUUGAAUUAAAUUGUCAAUAGAGUUGUAUUGUUCAUUUUUUAUGUUAGUCAAUUGAGUUGAACCUAGCUGCAAUUUUCAAAGGUUUUGAGCAAGAACCGAAAAUUAUUUUUAAAGUCCAAUUCACCCCCCUCU